GACGAACGCUGGCGGCGUGCUUAACACAUGCAAGUCGAACGGAAAGGCCCCUUUGGGGGUACUCGAGUGGCGAACGGGUGAGUAACACGUGCGUAACCUGCCCUUGACUUCGGGAUAACUUCAGGAAACUGGGGCUAAUACCGGAUAGGAAUCCUUGCUGCAUGGUGGGGGUUGGAAAGCUUCGGCGGUUUUGGAUGGACUCGCGGCUUAUCAGCUUGUUGGUGGGGUAGUGGCUUACCAAGGCUUUGACGGGUAGCCGGCCUGAGAGGGCGACCGGCCACAUUGGGACUGAGAUACGGCCCAGACUCCUACGGGAGGCAGCAGUGGGGAAUAUUGCACAAGGGGCGGAAGCCGGAUGCAGCAACGCCGCGUGCGGGAUGACGGCCUUCGGGUUGUAAACCGCUUUCAGCAGGGGCGAAGCUUGUGGUGACGGUACCUGCAGAAGAAGCACCGGCUAACUACGUG
rnacentral:rRNA from 1 species